CUCUUCUUCAGCAGACUUUUUUAAAAUGAAAGUCCCUUUAAGUUUUUGAUCCUGGAGGAGAUGGGGAUACUUGACCCAGUUGCUAAUGAGGUGCUCUAUAAUCUCCUGUAUCCUAUAGCUCAAAAUAGCAGGAUGCAAUAUAAAAAGUACAUCAUAAAGGGGACUAUUGGAAUGCUUUUUUUGUCUUCACAGGCUAUACGUAAAAGAUGUUACCCUCUAAGAAAGUCAGAGGUUGGUCUCCUGCAGGCAAGUGAAGGUAUCAAAGUCAGAGUAUUUGAGGUGAGGCAUCUUGACAGUGUGGUCAGGAAACUGGAAGCCAGGAUCCAGGACACAGUGAAGAAAGGAACCAGAGAAGAGAUAUCACCAUAGUCAGAGCUAAGAUUCAGCAGCUAAAACAGGAACUGCUGGAUGGGCAUCCGCAGUGCUUUGAGGCGAAGCAGCCCAAGAACUUGCCAGUCAAGAUGAAAAACUUCAUCUAAUGGAAUCCAGCUUGAAAGCAACUCAAGAGCAGCUAACUGAGCAAAGAGCAGAAAUAGUUCGUCAAGAACAGAACAGUACAAAAUCACAGGCAGAGCUGAAGACAGUGAGAGAACGUAUUAUUGCUUCUGAAGAAGAAUUUAAUGAUUUCAAUGGCUUGAACUUUGAGGGCCUGCCCCUCAUUUGAAGAGUGAUGCUGCAGCAAGGGUUGGUUGGAAUGGCUGACAACAGUGUCCAAAGUGCUAUAUGCUAUCUCAGGAUGUUGUGGGUUCCCAUUAUGGAGGUCUUCAAGGAAAGGUCAUAUCACCACUUCUAGGUUCAGACGAAUGAAGAAAAUUUAGCUGAUAUGCCAGAGAAAUGUUAACAGUCUCCAAAAUGUAAUUGCCAAAAUAUUGAAGACCUUGUCAAUAAAGAGAAACAGCUGGUGAUUUCAAGAACUGAAUUAGGGAUUCUGUCACAAGGAUGGUGCACAGCAUGAAAGAGGUGUGAUCCCUCUAGAACUAUUAAAACUACUGUCAAAUACUCAGAGCUUAGCAAAGGCUUCUAGUAAACUGCAUUGUUAACUGUUUCCAGUGAUAGUUUUUUUUAAAUACCUAUUCUUUUUACCCUCAAAUUUAAAUUCAUAGAAUUACCUAGCCUGGAACGAAAGGUAGAAGACUGCAGCUUAAAAAAAUGUUUUUUUUUUCUUCCCAAUAUCGGGAACCUGAAAUAGAAAUCAUGGGAAAGAAUUCACAAAAAGAGAAGCUGUGUGCAUUAUUUGAUAGUUAUUGAUAUUUUUAAAGUAGCUUUCUGAAAUUCUGCAGGAUGUAUGUACAAAUGCAUAUUAAGAUGUCAAAUUGUUAUUUAGAUAUUCUUAAAUACUUUAUUAUAUAUGGGAUUUUUGAUGCAGAAUAACUUGUCUUGUUUGAUGUUAGAUUUGUACUAGUUUAAAAAAGAAUUUAACUUGAAGUAAAUCACAUCUUGAAAAUGGCAAAUAAUAAUAGACAAUGCAAGGAGUACAAGAAUCAUUUUGGAGAUGAGUAAAUGAUUUAUUUCAAUGAUAAGCAAAGGUUCAAAGGUUCAAAGGUUCAAAGUCUCAAAUGAAAGUCAGUUGCCCAUAGUAGACAUGCUACAAAUAUGUGAUGAAUUAAUGCAUUCAUACAAGAAUCUAUAAAACAUUAAGAAGGAUUCAAAGGAUUUUUAAUAAAAAAAUUCACAUGAAAAUAUUUUGAGAAGAUAAAGUACAUAUUUGCCUUCUUUUUAAAAAUAGAUAUAGAACAUAAUCAAUUCUCACUCGAAUUAAUGCAAAGACUUCCUAAUAAGUCUCCCUGCCUUAAAUUUCUCACAGCUCUAAGCCAUCCUACACAACCCAAACAAAAUUAUUUUUCCUUACACAUAGAUCCAAACUUGUGAUUUCCCUGUUCUAUAAACUCCACCAGAGCCCUAUUGAACCUAGGAUAACAUAUAAUGUCCUAUUUUUAAUUUUUAAAGGUCUUUAUAAUCUGACUCCAACUUAUCUUUUGGACUUUAUUGGUCUUUAACCGUCCUUCCAUGUUCUGCAAAACUGACUUUCUCUCUGGCAAUCUCAGGCAACAUUUGUUUUCAUAUCUAUAUUCUUUUAGUUGGAUUUCCCUUCCAACAUUCCCUUCUUAGCCCUGCCACAAAGAAUACUUCUCUUCUUUCAAAAGUAAGCUAACAUACUUCUUCCUACACAAAGUCUUCCCUUCUAAAGGAAUCCCCUCAACUGUAAGUGAAUUGCUUCCUAAACUCUCUUGUAUUUAAUAACAUAAUUAAAUUAUUUCAUGUUUGUAAAAAUACUUGAUAAACAGUAAGUACUAAAUGUAUAUAUUUAUUUCCCUUCCCCAUCCUAAUUUCAUUUAUAUUUUCUAUGUAUUUUGUGUAUACACACAUAUAUGUUCAUGUAUAUGCAUCAAUGUCCAUACUCAUUAGAAUUGUGUCCCUUUUCCAGUAGGGAUUACUUAUUUCUUUUUAUAUGUAGCUUAGUGCUUAUCAUAAUGGAUGACACAUUUUAGGCAUUUAAUAAAUUUUUACUGAUUGA